UACCACGUGAGGCGAUGAAGGUCUUCUGAUUGUAAAGCUCUUUUAUUUAGGAAAAAAAGCGCGCUAGGAAAUGAGCGCGCCUUGAUGGUACUAAUUGAAUAAGUGACAGCUAACUAUGUGCCAGCAGCUGCGGUAAAACAUAGGUCACAAGCAUUAUCCGGAUUUAUUGGGCGUAAAGGAAGCGUAGGCGGGGAGGUUGAUCCAUUGUUAAAGGCAUUUGCUCAACAAAUGUAUGCGAUGGAGAUCGCCUCCCUAGAGUUAAUCAGGGGGUACUGGAAUUCAAUGUGUAGCGGUGGAAUGCGUAGAUAUAUUGAGGAACACCAGAGGCUAAGGCGAGUACCUGGGAUUUAACUGACGCUGAGGCUUGAAAGCGUGGGGAGCAAAUGGGAUUAGAUACCCCAGUAGUCCACGCCGUAAACGAUGAGCAUUAGGUAUUUGAUGUUAUGUCGAGUGCUGCAGCUAACGCGUUAAAUGCUCCGCCUGGGUAGUAUAUAUGCAAAUAUGAAACUCAAAGAAAUUGACGGGGACCU
rnacentral:rRNA from 1 species